rnacentral:tRNA from 1 species
AGUUUUAUAGUUUAAUUAAAACAUUAAAUUGCAAAUUUAAAAUUGAAAAUAUCUAAGACUU